rnacentral:lncRNA from 1 species
GGGGAUUGUAGUAUGUAACCAAAACAAGAAGGUAAGAACUGAAAAUAGCAAAAUAAAGAGAGAUUGUCACGUGUGUUGUAAACAAUGAGAAUUGAGGCGUUGGGGUUAUGUCCACCUUCUGAGGUAUACGUCUCUAUUGGCUAUGAGUGUGUAGAGUCUUGACAUGUAAUUGCUUAUAGAGAAUUGUAGUCGAUGGUAAAUCCAAGCGUCUCUCGACCUAAACAAGGACUAUUUCACUUUAACUCUCUCGAGCUUAAAGCGUGACUAACGGUACGAAUUCUCCAAGAAGUUAGUCCAGGUACGGCACUAGCUUUUUAAUAGGAAAGGGUGUCCUACUACCUUGACAUUAUCUCUUUUCCAGACAAAUAACUUUUCUCUGCAACAAGUCAGAUGUUAGACUGGCGUUGGUAUAUGCGUCUUCUUUUCUAGACAAAUAACCUUUCUCUCGAACAGGUUAGAUGUUAGAAUGGCGUGUUCUUGUGUUUGAACCGCAAAGAAUGUAGAUUUAAGAUGAAGAGAAUAAUGAUAUAAGCAAUAUACUUGUCUUGAACUCACAAACUCAUAGCUAUAGAUAGUAACUCAUUCGGCUUCCAUAACCCCAACUAAGAGAUUUAGUUACCCAUGAAUGCGAAGGAUAUCACGUUUUGCAUGGUGGAUGGCGUGAAUAGUAGGUGUUUGGCGUGUGGUUUUAGUGAUUCCGUAGCAAGUAACGAUUCUCUUGUUGUGGAAUUUAAGAGUAGAAGAAUGAAGAAUUGAGAAUGGGUUGUAGGAAGAUGUCUUAAUUGUAAGGAGAUGAAUGAAUUGUCAGAAUGUCUCCCUUCUUGAAAAUCUCUAACAUGAUAGGGUAUUUAUAAUACUCCUAUCCUACUCCUACUAAACUAAUAAAAUAAAUAACCAAAUCCUAAUAUACUAAUGAAAUCCUUGACCCAAUUGUACUAGGGUAAGGUUACAAAAUUAUAAUCCAAAUAGAAUGAUGAAACACAUAACCUAAUUGCACUAGGUUAAUGUAUUAUGGCAAAAAUCCAGCUUUGUGUCUGUAAGUCCCAAAGUCUUCAGAAAUGCUGUUUUAGCCCGGGACAGAUUUUCCAUGCAGCAGAUUUAGUCCUUUAUGCGUCCAGCUCCUUUCCAUCUCGUUUGUGAGCUUUCUUUUGCGUCAAGUAAGCCAUAAAUUGCUGUAUUUUGCAUCAUUUAUACCUGAAACUUUCCUAAUCACAUUUGUUAGCUCAUUUACAGGAAAAAGGACUAAAAGUGUACGAAAUAGAUAAUUAGUUCUCGAAACUAGGCUAAAAUAUGGGCAAAAUAUAUUGAUAUAGGCGCGUAAUUUCGCCUAUCAUCAACACCCCACACUUAGAGCUUUGUUCGUCCUCGAACAACAUAUCAUGUCCUUCUAAGCAUUGACUUAAGGUUUUUACAGAAACAACACAAAACAUUCUUCAAGACAAGCACAACAAUUAUCAACGAAGAGUAGCUUUCCGAUUAUAAGUAGAAACAAUUUAACCUCAAGCAUAGACUCGUGAUGGUGAUCAACUCGCAUGCAAACGUUUAAGGUACAUAGAAUCAUAUACAACUAUCCAAAACUCAUCAACCAUGUGUGUCUCACAAUAUAGUACCCAUAAUCACUCACAAGUAUAGCAUAUUUUUCAAACAUGGGCAGCAAAGUAUCCUUGCGCUCACUCUCACAAAGAAUUCAUAUGUAGCAGCUAAUGACCAUAGGCUUGCCCUUAAUGUAGUACUCCACUAAAUGUCGGAAUGUUAAGGUUAGGAUCAAGUAGGUCUUUUGAUGGUUGUAAUGUAGGCUAAGGGACGGGUAGGAUCAACUAUUUUGGCCAGAAAUAGUGACUAAGUUCCUAAGCACUUUAAUACAUCACAUUGUAUUAUUGACACUUUUUUGUAGCACCCUUGUUCUCCUCUUUUGUUUUUCAAUUUUAAAGCACAACUCACUUUUCAGCUUUCUUUUCCUUUUUCUUCUCACAACAUACCUCUUAUGAUAGCACUUUCUUUUUCAUAACAUAUUCAAGCACCAUUACAAUUUAAAGCAUCAUACUCAACCAAUUUCCUCUUAUGUUGUCACAUGACUUUUUCACUUUAAAGCACUUAGGAAUUUGGAUCAAAUUACGGUCUUGAAAAAAAAAUGAAUUAGGCUUACAUACAAGGUUGUCAAAGAAAUAGGCUAAAGGCUCAAAAGGGUUUAACUAGGAUGAUGUCCAUGGGUAGGUAAAACUGAAGGUAAACAAAUAUAGGUUGCCAAAGAAAUGCCUAAAUCAUAUCCUAAACUUACACUCCUUAUUUUCGCUUUGCAUACAUACCAGGCAAGUUCUAGCAUCAGCCACAUACAUAGAAUAUACUAUUAUCUCACACACACAAGGCACAUGGUCGACUUGAUUGGUAGCAAUAUAGACUCUCAACCCAACAAGUGAAGGAAUUGAAUCACACACUAUCACAUAAUGAGUCACAACUAGAGCCUAAAUGUCUCAAUAGUCACAAUUGUAAUACAUACUAUUGUUAUAAUCUCAUGCUGCCUAUUAAAAUAAUUUCAUGCGAGGCUAGAAAAAUUUUAACUACUAAAAACUAAAAAAAAAACGUCACACGAAAAAAAUCACAAAAAAAAAUCGGACUCAAAACAAAAUAAAUAAAACAAAAUAAACAAGCAAACAUACAAAUAUAGCAUGCAGAUUCUGCCGACACCCCACACUUAGACUAGACACUGCCCUCAGUGGAAAAUAAAGUCGAAGAACCUGAUUAGUCGGACUCUUCCUCAAUGUCAUACCCCCUUCGUUCGAGUCAUCGUAAGAGUCAUCGUCAGAGUUCUCCUCAGCAUCAGAAUCAGGCAAGCGUCUAUCAUCAUCAGUUGGCACGUCAUCAUCAAGAGGUUCCUCGAAAUAUACUCCCACUCCACACAUCUCCCGGGCAUGUCUGUUCAUUGGGUAGUCGUGGUCCAGCUGUUGGAGCUCUUCAGCAGUUGGAAUACGUCCACCACUCAUCAUAGUGAAUCUCGUCAUGCCAUAGAGAUGACGGAAGAAACUCUCGUCACGAGCAUGUCUCUCCGCAGUGGUAAGGUUGACUCCAUGCGUUGUUUCAGCAUCUUUGACCUUGGUGAGGUCAACCUUCUUUGGGGUAUGUGGGAGUUUGUGGUCAGCUGGUUCCUCCUCUAUAUCCUCCUUCCGCAACAUUGCUGUCAACAAAUUGCCGAAUGUGAAAUAGGACCAUUCACAUUCACAUCAGUCUGGCUUUCCUCAUGGUGGAUCGAAUGAUUGCCCCAAAGUUGAUAGGGACAUUCGUCAUUAAUGAAUAAACCAGGCACACUCUAUCUCUCGAUAUCUUUGUGUAUUGCGUCCCAGGAAUGAGGCAUGAGUUGACAAUGCGCAUCCAGAUUCUUGCUUCCCUAUUUAGUGGAGCAUAGGGGAAUGUGUUGUGACGGCCUGUUUCCUUAUGUCUGCCCCAUCUCGCCAUCGAUCUGCUUCCACAAAGCGUGUGUCUUAUAGCUCUGUAAGGAGGUCUGCUGUACAGCUCUUUGUAUGGUGCAGUGUCGACCGAAGGUAGGCCUAGAAACGAGUUGAUCCAAUCCGCUGUAAGCUGUAACACUUGGCCCCGAAUUUUGACUUCGUUGCCUGUUGUGUUUGGCGACCAGUUGGCAUAAAACUCUCUUGUCAAGUCAAGAUUGCACUCUCCCAUGUCACGGAAGAUGAAAUCCAGCUUCAAAGCCAUAAUCUUAGCCAACAUUUGCGGCUCCUUCUUUGCUAAGGUCUCCUUAUUGAUUAAGUCGACGUGCACAUAUUUCUUUUCUUUGUUGCUGCUGUACCAUGCCUUGGCUUCUUCCUCAAGAACCCAUUUGAUUCCGAACAUUCUGCGUGGUAGGUGUGCGGAAGAUGAUUCGCCUUGGUCUUUUCGGCUUCUCUUUUUGUCCUUGCGGGUUGUGGUAGCCUUCUCCUUGCCUUGCCUUGCUUUCGGUGCCAUUGUACCGCCUUUACCAUACAACGCGACCAAAUCGUCAAUUGAAAUCAAUCUCCUCGUUGCAUACUUCUUACACCUAUAUUUGCUCAAACAAAUGAAAACGAUUAGUACGAUGGGUUGCCUCCCACCAAGCGCCUUAGUUUUGGUCGUGGCACGACUCUUAUUUUUGGAUUUUCAUUUAUCAAAAAGAAAAAAUACUAAAACGACAAAACGAUAAAACAAUAAAACGAAGGGUUGCCUCCCAUCUAGCGCCUUAUUUAUUGUCGUGGCUCGACGUAGUAAUCUCGAGUACUUAGACUUCGUCGAGAUAAGUGAUGGCCAUGUCAUUUAUCGAGUCAAGAGGACCGAUAUAUGGCUUAACACGUUGGCCAUUCACCUUGAAGAUAACACCCUCAUUAUUUUCCAAUUCGACUACUCCAAACGAGUAGACGUGGGUGACUUUAAAUGGACCAGACCACUUUGAUUUUAACUUACCUGGGAAGAGCUUGAAUCUGGAGUUAAAGAGUAGCACCAUGUCACCUUUUUGGAAGUGUCGUCGAACAAUCCGCUGAUCGUGAUACUUCUUCAUCCGCUCCUUGUAUAAAUCUGAUCUUUCAUAAGCAUGGAGACGGAAUUCAUCUAGCUCGUUCAGCUGCUCCAACCUCAGGUUCUUCACAUCAUCCCAAUUCAGAUUCAAGUGCUUCAAUGCCCAUAAUGCCUUGUAUUCAAGCUCGAUGGGUAGAUGACAAGCCUUCCCAUAAACUAGCUGAUAAGGUGACAUGCCAAUGGGUGUCUUGAAUGCAGUCCUAUACGCCCAUAGUGCAUCAUCUAGCUUCCGAGACCAAUCCUUCCGAUUCGCAUUGACCGUCUUGGCAAGGAUUUGCUUGAUCUCCCGAUUGGAAACCUCUACUUGUCCACUAGUUUGGGGAUGAUAAGGCGUAGCUACCUUGUGUUGCUUGACUCCAUACUUGGCCAAUACAGAUUUGAAUAGCUUGUUGCAGAAGUGAGAUCCUCCAUCACUUAUGAUAGUACGAGGUACCCCAAAGCGAGAGAAGAUAUUCUUCUUUAAAAACGCUACAACACGCUUUCCUUCAUUAUCGGCCAAUGCUACAGCUUCAACCCAUUUCGACACAUAAUCCACAGCAACCAAGAUGUACUUCAUUCCAAACGAAUUUACGAAUGGUCCCAUGAAAUCAAUACCCCAUACAUCAAAGAGUUCUACCUCCAGGAUUGUGGACAUGGGCAUUUCAUGGUGUUUUGAAAUAACACCUUGACGUUGGCAUUGGUCACACCUUCUCACAUAGUCGUGUGCAUCUCUGAAUAUUGUAGGCCAAUAAUAACCACUUUGCAAGACUUUUCUUGCUGUUCGAUUACCCGCAUGAUGUCCUCCAACUUGCGAAGUGUGGCAUGCUUCUAAUAUAGUGGGCACUUCGUCAUGGGAUAUACAUCGUCGAAUGAUACCAUCCGCACAUCUUCGAAACAAAUAAGGCUCAUCCCAAUAAUAGUGCUGAACGUCAUGCAUAAACUUCCUCCUCUGGUGGUAAGAUAAAUUUGUAGGUAACACAUUACUCACCACGAAAUUCGCAAAGUCGGCAUACCAUGGUAAGUCUUCUAUUGUUGUCGCUAAUAUCUCCUCGUCAGGGAAUGCAUCGCCAAUCUGAUUUUCUGAUUGCGCCACAUACUCAUUCUCAAGUCUAGAUAGGUGAUCAGCCACUUGGUUCUCGCAACCUCUUCUAUCUUUGACUUCGAAAUCAAACUCUUGCAGCAGCAACACCCAUCGAAUCAGCCUUGGUUUUGCAUCCUUCUUUGUCAUUAGAUACCUAAGAGCUGCAUGGUCUGUAUGAACGAUCACUUUAGUACCUAAUAGGUAGGCGCGGAACUUCUCAAACGCAUACACAACCGCUAAUAGCUCUUGUUCAGUGACGGUGUAGUUCCUUUGGGCUUCAUUGAGGACCUUACUCGCAUAGUAGAUAGGAUGAAAUAAUUUCUCCUUUCUCUGUCCAAGAACAGCACCAACGGCUACACCACUAGCAUCACACAUGACUUCGAACGGGAGCGUCCAAUCUGGUGUUACCAUGAUAGGGGCUUCAACGAGUUUUUCUUUAAGGCAUUCAAAUGCCUUUAAGCAAUCAUCAUUAAAGUCAAACUUCGCAUCUUUCUCCAAUAGCUUGCAUAAUGGACUAGAAAUUUUGGAGAAGUCUUUGAUGAAUCUACGAUAAAACCCAGCAUGGCCAAGAAAACUACGAACUCCCUUCACCGAAAUUGGAGGUGGUAGCUUCUCAAUUACCUCUAUUUUGGCGCGAUCAACCUCUAUUCCUUUUUCGGAGAUCUUGUGCCCAAGAACAAUUCCUUCUUUUACCAUGAAGUGGCACUUCUCCCAAUUCAGCACAAGGUUGAACUCUACACAUCUUUGUAAUGCCAUGCUUAAAUUCACCAAACAUGCUUCGAAAGACUCCCCAACAACUGAAAAGUCGUCCAUAAAUACCUCCAAAGUGUCUUCUACCAUAUCAGAGAAAAUAGACAUCAUACAUCGCUGAAAGGUGGCUGGUGCAUUACAUAACCCGAAUGGCAUACGUUUGAAGGCAAACGUACCAUAUGGGCAUGUAAACGUUGUCUUCUCUUGGUCUUCUGGUGCAAUAAAAAUCUGAUUAUAACCUGAAUAACCAUCAAGAAAGCAAAACCAUCCUUUUCCCGCUAAUCGAUCUAGCAUUUGGUCCAUAAAUGGCAUGGGGAAGUGAUCCUUGAGAGUCCAAGAAUUCAGCUUGCGGUAGUCCAUGCAUACUCUCCAUCCAGUGACGGGCCUGAGUGGAAUAAGCUCAUUCUUUGCAUUCGCAACCACCGUCAUACCUCCUUUCUUGGGAACACAUUGUACUGGGCUUACCCAUGUACUAUCAGAAAUAGGAUACACAACUCCUGCGUCUAACCACUUGAUAAUCUCCUUCUUCACCACCUCUUGCAUUGGUGGGUUUAGACGUCUUUGGUGUUCGAUGGUGGGUGUGCACUUUUCUUGGAGCUGAAUUUUAUGAGUGCAAAUUCCAGGUGGAAUACCAAGGAUAUCCGCAAUGGUCCAUCCAAUAGCUCUAAUAUACUUGCGUAAAAUUGCAAUAAGAGCUGCAACUUGUUGCUCACCUAAAUCGGCUGCCACUAUGACUGGAAGAGUGUUUCCGCUUCCUAAGAAUGCAUACUUCAAAUGGCUUGGCAGCUCCUUUAAUUCUAAUGUGGGUGGUUCUUCAAUAGAUGGCUUAGCUGGUGGUGUGGGUCGAUUCUUGAGAUCAAGAUCCAGCUUCUUAGGAGGAUAGCGAUAUGCUCCUAAUCCCGAUAGAGCACAAAUAUCAUCUUCAGAAAUUUCAGCAUCAUCAUCAUCUUCUUCCAUGAGCAAAACCUCCAAAGGAUCAUCAAGAAUUUGUUCUUCAGCAAGUAACUCAUCCUCGUCAUCAACGACAACAUCAGUCACAGAAAAUACACUUAGAUCUUUGGGUUGCUUCAUUGAUUUGCAAACAUCAAAGCGCACCACUUCAUCAUUUAUUCGGAAUGAAAGUUCAUUAGCUCUCAAAUCUAUGAGCACACUUCCCGUAGCAAGGAAAGGGCGUCCCAAGAUUAUGGGAACCUCUGAAUCUGCUUCGCAAUCCAAGAUGACAAAGUCUGCUGGAAAUAUGAAUGAAGAUACCUUCACCAAGACAUCGCAUAGAAUACCAACCGGUCGUUUUACCGACCUAUCCGCCAUAACAAGCUUCAUAUUAGUUGGUGUAGGAUCUCCCAACCCCAACUUCUUGUAGAUUGAUAAUGGCAUCAAGUUGAUGCUGGCUCCUAAGUCACAUAAUGCUUUAGCAAAGUCCAAAGAUCCGACGGUGCAAGGAAUAGUGAAAGCUCCGGGGUCGGCCUUCUUCUGAACUAUGGAUCGGGUAGCUAUUGCACUACAAUGAUGCACAUCUUCUUUCAGCUCAUAGCUUGCUGCCCUCUUCUUAGUCAAAAGAUCUUUCAUAAACUUCGCAUACCCAGGCAUUUGUUCAAGUGCCUCUACCAAUGGGACAUUAAUAGUCAGCUGCUUCAAGAUGGUCAUGAACUUGCUGAACUUAGUGUCAUCGGCCGCCUUCUUCAGUCUUUGUGGAAAAGGUGGUGGUGGGUAUGGAAGUGUUCUUUCCAUGGCUUUCUUCUCCUCUUGCUUCCGUUUAUUACUUUUUUCAGGCUGCACGUCACUAGGCAACACGUCCUUGACGUUGGAAGUGGAUAUUGCGGCGUCUUCCCUAGUGGCGUCACUAGGUGUGGCGGUUGUGUCUGCUGUUCUGUCAACUAUUUGCUUGCCUUCUGCUGAAGUUUCCAGCACCUUACCACUCCUCGUAGUGAUGGCCAUGCAUGACCCAUCAGUCCUUGGAUUUUGCACCGUAUCGCUAGGCAAGGUGCCGGCUUUUCUUUGGUUGAGUGUUGCUGAAAGUUGACUGAAUUGCUGCUCUAGUUGCUUGAUAGAAGUGGAAUGAGAAUCAACUAAUUGCUUCAUGGAGGCCAAAUCGUCAAUCACCUCCUUAACUCCCGCAUUCGUCGCUUCCACUCCUUUCAAUAACUUAGCCAUCAUGUCUUCCAUAGAAUUAGAUGUGGUGGUAUCACGUCUACCAGGGGGAACGUACAAACCACUGUUUUCAUUAUUUUUCUUCCAACUACCUUGGUCUUUACCUCCAGAUUUGUCAUAAUAGUUCCGACCUUGGUUUCCUUGGGCAUUCCCACGGAAACCCCCCUGAUUGUUCAAGUAGUUGGCCUCCUCUUCUGAAUCAGAUUCGUCUCUUCCUUUUGACGCAAUAGAUUUCACUUUUUCAGUCUUCCCUAAUAGAUGCUUUGUAAGAAGAUCCAUUUGGGUUUUCAUGUGCGCCAUAUCUUGAUCACGUUCUUCUUCUCUCCUUCUUUGAUCUGCAGACAUGCCAAUAGAUAAAGUGGGGCUUGCUACCUCAGAAUCCCUGGUAUGCCAAGCUCUACUUUGUUUCGUCAUACGAUCUAGCAUGUUGCUUGCUUGACCAAAGGUGAGGUCCAUAAAAGAACCUCCAGCUGCGUUGUCCACCACUGGUUUAGUUACUGAAUUCAAGGCUCUAUAUAAGAUCUCCAUGAGGUGAACAUUAGUCAUGUGAUGGUUUGGGCAUCUCGCUAGCUUUGUCUUGAACCUCUCCCAUGUUUCGUGAAGAGCUUCAGAGGGAAGCUGACGAAAGUUGCUGAUUUCAUCUCUCAAUUGAGCCCUCUUGGAUGGCGGAAAGAAUCUUUCUAGGAAAGCGUCUCUCAAUUGCCUCCAAUUUGUAAUAGAAUCAGGAGUCAGCCCAUUCAACCAUAAUGUUGCCUCCCCAGACAGAGACAAUGGAAAUAGACGUAAUCGAAUAGCAUUCUGACCAACUCCAGGAUUGUCAAAAGACUUGCAUGUAGAAAUAAAGUUGAUGAGAUGCAUAUUCGGAUCAUCGCCUGCUAGUCCACCAAAUAAUCCCUUGAGUUGCAAUAACUGAAUCAUGGUGCUAGUGAUGUUGAACUUGGCUCCGGGCGCUAAUGGUGGUGGAAUUAUAGCUCCAGUGGCUCCGGCACCAUCAAGAUCAUCAUCAUCAUCGUCGAAAGCUGGUUGCAAAGGUUGGCGAUCAUAUCUGUACCGAGCUUGUCGACCUCGUCUGUUGGUAGGUGUUGCCAUUUCAGCGCCAUGCCUUGGGUUGAUCAACUCGUCAUCUCCUAAAUCUUCAUCGUCAGGAUUUGUUGCUCGUCCAGGAUUAUCAAUGUUUUGUUGUUGGACUUGAGCAGCGGCAAGAGCAGCUAAUCUUGCUUGCUCAUGUUGAGCAGCCAUCCUGUCGAUUUCCGCUUGUGCUUCCAUUCUUCUGAUUCGUUGUGGUUCCGGAUUGAUUGGUAAUAACGGUUGACCAGAACUUCUAGUAUGGGGCAUGCACUAAAAGAAAAACCUGCAAUAAACAAAAACAAAAACUAAACGUAAAAGUACGAGAAUCUUUGACCAAAGGGUCUAGUAAUUUUCACGAACUUGAUUGACACUCGUAUUCCCCGGCAACGGCGCCAAUUUUUGAUAACGCUCAAUCUACAGCUCUCGUGGGAGUGUAAAGCGGUCGUUAGCAAAUAUAGAACCCAACCUGGGUUGGGUAUCGAUCCCACAGAGAAUAGCUUGGCCAACAAGCAAGAAAAAUUACUAGACUUUUAGUGCAAGUCUCGUAGGAAAGGGGGGAUUGUAGUAUGUAACCAAAACAAGAAUGUAAGAACUGAAAAUAGCAAAAUAAAGAGAGAUUGUCACGUGUGUUGUAAACAAUGAGAAUUGAGGCGUUGGGGUUAUGUCCACCUUCUGAGGUAUACGUCUCUAUUGGCUAUGAGUGUGUAGAGUCUUGACAUGUAAUUGCUUAUAGAGAAUUGUAGUCGAUGGUAAAUCCAAGCGUCUCUCGACCUAAACAAGGACUAUUUCACUUUAACUCUCUCGAGCUUAAAGCGUGACUAACGGUACGAAUUCUCCAAGAAGUUAGUCCAGGUACGGCACUAGCUUUUUAAUAGGAAAGGGUGUCCUACUACCUUGACAUUAUCUCUUUUCCAGACAAAUAACUUUUCUCUCGAACAAGUCAGAUGUUAGACUGGCGUUGGUCUAUGCGUCUUCUUUUCUA